AGAAAGAGCACGAAUCAGCACAGAUGUUCGGACGAAACAUACUCGGAAGAAACAGUGCUGACAAAAAAGAGGUGUACAGCCGCCGAGGAAGACAGGGAGGACAACGACGACAAAGACACGACACGAUUGUAAAACGGAAAGGACUGAUCAUCCCGACCAUUACAAACGGAAAAAACGACAAAUAACAAGACAGACAAACAUA